GGUCAAGAUCCCAGAGCCCAGGACAUCAGGGAGUCUGUCCUCUGGCCAGAGGUCCCAGUGGGCAACCAAGUACUUCAGUCUUCAUUGAAAAAUAAUCUCAGCUAUACCUGGUGGCGUACAAGUGGUUCCAGAACUCAAGAGCCGAGACAGGAGAAUCAUAAGUUUCAGGCCAGCCUGGGCUAGUUAGCAAAACCCUGUAUUAAAUCUCAUUCUGCUGUUUAUCAACUUGUUUGGGAUUCUUUAACUGAGAUUCAUGUUAAUAUUUGUUGUUCUAUAACAUGAAGUUUCUUCCCUCCUUCCCUUCUUCUUUUUUUUAAAUUUUUUUU